AAGGGCUUGAGAUCAGACUUGGUAUUUUGUGUUCCUUAUCCUUCUUGGAUUAGGUUCCUCACAGCUUACCGGGCCAGCAUCGGUUUGGAUGGCAGGAUAAUGACAUUGGAAUGUAGCUUUGCUUCGGUGAAGUGUUAUAGACUUUGUUGAUACUGCCUAUCUAGACCGAGGACUGCGUCUUUGACUAGGAUGCUGGCGUAAUGAUCUUAAGCCG
rnacentral:rRNA from 1 species